AGUGAACGCUGGCGGUAGGCCUAACACAUGCAAGUCGAACGGCAGCACAGUAAGAGCUUGCUCUUACGGGUGGCGAGUGGCGGACGGGUGAGGAAUACAUCGGAAUCUACUUUUUCGUGGGGGAUAACGUAGGGAAACUUACGCUAAUACCGCAUACGACCUACGGGUGAAAGCAGGGGAUCUUCGUACCUUGCGCGAUUGAAUUAGCCGAUGUCGGAUUAGCUAGUUUGCGGGGUAAAGGCCCACCAAGGCGACGAUCCGUAGCUGGUCUGAGAGGAUGAUCAGCCACACUGGAACUGAGACACGGUCCAGACUCCUACGGGAGGCAGCAGUGGGGAAUAUUGGACAAUGGGCGAAAGCCUGAUCCAGCCAUACCGCGUGGGUGAAGAAGGCCUUCGGGUUGUAAAGCCCUUUUGUUGGGAAAGAAAAGCAGCAGGUUAAUACCCCGCUGUUCUGACGGUACCCAAAGAAUAAGCACCGGCUAACUUCGUG
rnacentral:rRNA from 1 species